rnacentral:rRNA from 1 species
GCGGUGGAGCAUGUGGUUAAUUCGAAGCAACGCGAAGAACCUUACCAGGUCUUGACAUCCCUGACAACCCGAGAGAUCGGGCGUUCCCCUUCGGGGGACAGGGUGACAGGUGGUGGCAUGGUUGUCGUCAGCUCGUGUCGUGAGAUGUUGGGUUAAGUCCCGCAACGAGCGCAACCCUCGACCUUAGUUGCCAGCAUUCAGUUGGGCACUCUAAGGUGACUGCCGGCUAAAAGUCGGAGGAAGGUGGGGAUGACGUCAAAUCAUCAUGCCCCUUAUGACCUGGGCUACACACAUGCUACAAUGGGCGGUACAAAGGGUCGCGAACCCGCGAGGGGGAGCCAAUCCCAAAAAGCCGCUCUCAGUUCGGAUUGCAGGCUGCAACUCGCCUGCAUGAAGCCGGAGUUGCUAGUAACCGCAGGUCAGCAAUACUGCGGUGAAUACGUUCCCGGGUCUU